CUUUGAAAAAGGUUCACAGUUAGUCAAGUACAGCCGGAAAGGGAAACCUAAAUUUCGUGCAUUCAGACUUUCUCCGGACGAAACAACUCUUAUCUGGUUAUACAUGGAGAAGAAAAAACUCUGAAGUUAUCAACAGUCUCAAGGAUAAUACCUGGACAGAGAACCGCUGUAUUCAAAAGAUAUUUGGCCCUGAAAAAGAUUACUUGUCAUUUUCACUUUAUAUAAUAACGGUGAAAGAUCUCUUGAUCUG